rnacentral:rRNA from 1 species
UGUGACCUCAAAUCAGGUAGGACUACCCGCUGAACUUAAGCAUAUCAAUAAGCGGAGGAAAAGAAACUAACAAGGAUUCCCCUAGUAACUGCGAGUGAAGCGGGAAAAGCUCAAAUUUAAAAUCUGGCGGUCUUUUGGCUGUCCGAGUUGUAAUCUAGAGAAGUGUUAUCCGCGCUGGACCGUGUACAAGUCUCCUGGAAUGGAGCAUCAUAGAGGGUGAGAAUCCCGUCUUUGACAUGGACUGCCAGGGCUUUGUGAUGCGCUCUCAAAGAGUCGAGUUGUUUGGGAAUGCAGCUCAAAAUGGGUGGUAAAUUCCAUCUAAAGCUAAAUAUUGGCGAGAGACCGAUAGCGAACAAGUACCGUGAGGGAAAGAUGAAAAGAACUUUGGAAAGAGAGUUAAACAGUACGUGAAAUUGCUGAAAGGGAAACGCUUGAAGUCAGUCACGUUGUCCAGGGAUCAACCUUGCUUUUGCUUGGUGCACUUUCUGGUUCGACGGGUCAGCAUCAAUUUCGAUCGUUGGAAAAAGGCCAAGGGAAUGUGGCAUCUUUGGAUGUGUUAUAGCCCUUUGUCACAUACAAUGGUUGGGAUUGAGGAACUCAGCACGCCGCAAGGCCGGG